rnacentral:rRNA from 1 species
UGGUGGGCGAGCUGAAUAUGCUCAGGCGCUUGAGAGAACUCAGGAGAAGGAACUCGGCAAAUUGACACCGUAACUUCGGGAUAAGGUGUGCCUUUGUAGUGUGAAGGGAGAAACACCCCUAGCAUGAAGAGGUCUCAGAUAAUUGGUGGCUGCGACUGUUUACUAAAAACACAGCACUCUGCAAAGACGAAAGUCGACGUAUAGGGUGUGAUGCCUGCCCGGUGCUGGAAGAUUAAUUGAUGGGGUGAAAGCUCCUGAUCGAAGUCCCAGUAAACGGCGGCCGUAACUAUAACGGUCCUAAGGUAGCGAAAUUCCUUGUCGGGCAAGUUCCGACCUGCACGAAUGGCAUAACGAUGGCCACACUGUCUCCUCCUGAGACUCAGUGAAGUUGAAGUGUUUGUGAUGAUGCAAUCUCCCCGCGGCUAGACGGAAAGACCCCAUGAACCUUUACUGUAGCUUUGCAUUGGACUUUGAACCGAUCUGUGUAGGAUAGGUGGGAGCCUGUGAAACUGUGACGCUAGUCACAGCGGAGGCGUCCUUGAAAUACCACCCUGAUUUGUUUGAGGUUCUAACCUAGGACAGUUAUCCUGUCCGGGGACCGUGCAUGGUAGGCAGUUUGACUGGGGCGGUCUCCUCCUAAAGGGUAACGGAGGAGUGCGAAGGUACGCUAGGUACGGUCGGAAAUCGUACUGAUAGUGCAAUGGCAAAAGCGUGCUUGACUGCGAGACCCACAAGUCGAGCAGAUACGAAAGUAGGUCAUAGUGAUCCGGUGGCUCUGUAUGGAAGGGCCAUCGCUCAACGGAUAAAAGGUACUCUGGGGAUAACAGGCUGAUACCGCCCAAGAGUUCAUAUCGACGGCGGUGUUUGGCACCUCGAUGUCGGCUCAUCUCAUCCUGGGGCUGUAGCCGGUCCCAAGGGUAUGGCUGUUCGCCAUUUAAAGAGGUACGUGAGCUGGGUUUAAAACGUCGUGAGACAGUUUUGUCCCUAUCUGCCGUGGGCGUUGGAAGAUUGACGGGGGUUGCUCCUAGUACGAGAGGACCGGAGUGAACUCACCUCUGGUGUACCAGUUGUCACGCCAGUGGCAUCGCUGGGUAGCUAUGUGGGGAAGAGAUAACCGCUGAAAGCAUCUAAGCGGGAAACUUGC